rnacentral:rRNA from 1 species
UACGUAGGGGGCGAGCGUUGUCCGGAAUUACUGGGCGUAAAGCGCACGUAGGCGGCUUUGUAAGUUAGAGGUGAAAGCCCGGGGCUCAACCCCGGAAUUGCCUUUAAGACUGCAUCGCUUGAAUCCGGGAGAGGUGAGUGGAAUUCCGAGUGUAGAGGUGAAAUUCGUAGAUAUUCGGAAGAACACCAGUGGCGAAGGCGGCUCACUGGACCGGUAUUGACGCUGAGGUGCGAAAGCGUGGGGAGCAAACAGG